GUGAGGAUGACCACCACUGAGCUAUACUUAUAUAUCUGGAGAUCGUGCUCUCGACGAAAGUGUGUGGCCAAAAACAUGGCGGAUUUGACGUCACAACAGUGAACUCUAAUAAUAACUGGAAGGCUAACUCCUAUGAUGAAAGUCUAUGAUUCGUUGAAGCCGGCGCGCGGGAAAAUCAGCUUUCAAAAGGACUAAGGAGAGUUUCGAGGAGUG